rnacentral:rRNA from 1 species
AACGAACGCUGGCGGCAUGCCUAACACAUGCAAGUCGAACGAAGCCUUCGGGCUUAGUGGCGCACGGGUGCGUAACGCGUGGGAAUCUGCCCUUUGGUUCAGAAUAACAGUUGGAAACGACUGCUAAUACCGGAUGAUGACGAAAGUCCAAAGAUUUAUCGCCAGAGGAUGAGCCCGCGUAGGGUUAGCUAGUUGGUGUGGUAAAGGCGCACCAAGGCGACGAUCCUUAGCUGGUCUGAGAGGAUGAUCAGCCACACUGGGACUGAGACACGGCCCAGACUCCUACGGGAGGCAGCAGUGGGGAAUAUUGGACAAUGGGCGAAAGCCUGAUCCAGCAAUGCCGCGUGAGUGAUGAAGGCCCUAGGGUUGUAAAGCUCUUUUACCCGGGAUGAUAAUGACAGUACCGGGAGAAUAAGCCCCGGCUAACUCCGUGCCAGCCGCCGCGGUAA